UACUCUCCUCCUUCAUUUUCACUAGGGGUGUGUUUUUAAUAUGAAAAAGGUGUGCUCUUAACUGGAGUGAACAUCCUAAUGGCAGUACAGAGUUUUCAAAGAGGUCGCAAGUCUAGAUAAACACUAACUCUUGUCAAACUCCAAACUGCUCUCCUUGCCUGCUUUCUCUCCAAUGUUGUUUCUUUUGUAUUUUUUCUCACACGCCUGCCUGUUCUUCCAAUAGACCUGCUGAGCCAUGCUAUCAGUCAUGUUUUCAAGCAAGAGGGAGCAGAGGCAUUCAGUAGGUGUUUCCUAGAAGACAGAAGUUGACUGUCAACCUAUCCUGCCUCCCACUAGCUAGAAACAGAUCUCCCUUGCAGUGCUGAUUGUACUUUCUCCACAAUUGCUUGAAGCCUUGGUGAAAGUUUCUGAAACCGUCUGAGAUCAAUGAAAGCGAGGUUUCUUAAUCUUUUUGGUUGGCAAUGCUGUAAAAAUCUUACUGCUGCAUUCAGAGAUGCCAAAGCAUUCACUCAUCUAGAUUUACACCCAGAACUUAGGAGCUGAGACAAAGAAAACACUGAUGCAAAGAGAAGGAAAAUAUUUGCCCUCAUCUGCCUUAUACUAUGUGGUCUCUACCACAGAUUGUAACAUGGACUAGCCUGAUACA